rnacentral:tRNA from 1 species
AUCGAGAUGGCGCAGCGGAAGCGUGCGGGGCUCAUAACUCCGAGGUCCCAGGAUCGAAACCUGGUCUCGAUA